rnacentral:rRNA from 1 species
CCUACGGGUGGCUGCAGUGGGGAAUAUUGGGCAAUGGGCGCAAGCCUGACCCAGCAAAGCCGCGUGAAGGAAGAAGGCUUUCGGGUUGUAAACUUCUUUUCUCAGGGACGAAGAAAGUGACGGUACCUGAGGAAUAAGCCACGGCUAACUACGUGCCAGAAGCCGCGGCAAUACGUAGGUGGCAAGCGUUAUCCGGAUUUAUUGGGUGUAAAGGGUGUGUAGGCGGGAGCGCACGUCAGAUGUGAAAACUAAGGGCUCAACCCUGAGCCUGCAUUUGAUACUGUGUUUCUUGAGUGCUGGUGAGGCAAUCGGAAUGCCGGGUGUAGCGGUGAAAUGCGUAGAUAUACGGAGGAACACCAGUGGCGAAGGCGGAUUGCUGGACAGUAACUGACGCUGAUGCGCGAAAGCGUGGGGAGCAAACAGGAUUAGAUACCCCGGUAGUC